rnacentral:tRNA from 1 species
UCUAAUUUGGCAGAGAAGUGCAGUGGAUUUAAGCUCCAUUUAUAAAGAUUAAACCUUUUUUUAGAA